GACGAACGCUGGCGGCGUGCUUAACACAUGCAAGUCGAACGGGAUUUAGUAGACAGGAGCCUCGGCUAAAGAUUACUAAUGAGAGUGGCGAACGGGUGAGUAACGCGUGAGCAACCUGCCUAUGACAGUGGGAUAGCCUCGGGAAACCGGGAUUAAUACCGCAUAAAAUCGUAGAAACACAUGUUUUAACGGUCAAAGAUUUAUCGGUCAUAGAUGGGCUCGCGUCUGAUUAGCUAGUUGGUGAGAUAACAGCCCACCAAGGCGACGAUCAGUAGCCGGUCUGAGAGGAUGAACGGCCACAUUGGCACUGAGACACGGUCCAAACUCCUACGGGAGGCAGCAGUGGGGAAUAUUGCACAAUGGGGGAAACCCUGAUGCAGCGACGCCGCGUGAACGAAGAAGGUAUUCGUAUCGUAAAGUUCUGUCCUAUGGGAAGAUAAUGACAGUACCAUAGAAGAAAGCUCCGGCUAACUACGUG
rnacentral:rRNA from 1 species